CCUACGGGAGGCAGCAGCAAGGAAUUUUCGUCAAUGGGGGCAACCCUGAACGAGCAACGCCGCGUGGGCGAAGAAGUCCUUCGGGAUGUAAAGCCCUUUUCCCUCUGGAGAGUGAAAGACGGUAGGAGGGGAAUAAGCAUCGGCUAACUACGUGCCAGCAGCCGCGGUAAU
rnacentral:rRNA from 1 species